GGUAAGGUGUAGUGUUGGAGGGGUGUUGGAUAGGUAAGGUAUAGUGGUGGAGGGGUGUUGGAUAGGUAAGGUGUAGUGGUGGAGGGGUGUUGGAUAGGGUAAGGUAUAGUGGUGGAGGGGUGUUGGAUAGAUAAGGUAUAGUGGUGGAGGGGUGUUGGAUAGAUAAGGUAUAGUGGUGGAGGGGUGUUGGAU